ACCGUGCAGACGUCAGCGAUCGCCUCGACAUCGCUGCGAGCGCUCGAAGAGACAAAAUCCGAAACGACGUCAGCCGGGGCGUCGAGCACGCCGCCCGCACUGUUCGCACUCGUGCUCGGAAAUGGCGAAGGGGCCGCGCUAGGAUGCCUUGAAUCGGUGAGCGGCGGUACCGCGGCGAUUGCAAGAGCUCGAAUCGGCCGUGCGAAAGCCAAAUAUUGGCGCUCGGCUCGGCGCAGUACGCCGCCGCGUCG
rnacentral:lncRNA from 1 species